GCACUGCUGACGAGUCCCAAACAGAACGAAACGCCUGUCCGGUUC
rnacentral:hammerhead_ribozyme from 1 species